rnacentral:lncRNA from 1 species
GCUGGUUUGGAUUUCUAGUUCUUUUAAAGACUACAGGAUCUGAUUGUUGCAUUGAUUAUGGAGUUCUAUCCUAUCUAAUACUUGCUGAAUCCUCUCUUCAAAAGUUGGAUUAUAGUUAGUUGGAGAAAGUUUAUAUUAUGGAUAGGGUAUAUCGUAAUAAGGUGCAUCCAUGAAUGUAAGUCCUUGUGUCACCGAGGUACCACCGGUUGUGGUUUUCAUAAAAAAUUUGGUUGAGUCCUCUCAGU